GAUAAACGCUGGCGGCGCACAUAAGACAUGCAAGUCGAACGGAAGUAAGUGCUUCGGUAUUUACUUUAGUGGCGAACGGGUGAGUAACGCGUGAGGAACCUGCCUUUCAGUGGGGGACAACAGUUGGAAACGACUGCUAAUACCGCAUGACGCUUCUUAGGGGCAUCCCUGAGAAGUCAAAGCUUUAUGUGCUGAAAGAUGGCCUCGCGUCUGAUUAGCUAGUUGGUGGGGUAACGGCCCACCAAGGCGACGAUCAGUAGCCGGUCUGAGAGGAUGGACGGCCACAUUGGGACUGAGAUACGGCCCAG
rnacentral:rRNA from 1 species